GUUCUACUGUUGCAUGUGCUUUAUUCAUUUGUUAUAUCUAAAUCUAUCUGAUCAAUGUGCGUCUUAAUUUGUCGUUUAAAAGGAGCCAGCUAAUAUCUCGCUGCCACAGUGAUACUUUGUAAUUGAAAUGGUUUCAAGAUUCAAGUUGCUGACGAGAUGUAUUGCGUAUCCAGCGACCGGCCAUCUUUCUUCUUGAUGUGUAUGUUCAUCUCAUCAGUGCUUUGUUGCUCUGCCUUUACCGAUCGCUCCAAGACAAGUACAUGAACCUGGCUUACUGCUUUGAUGAGAAAAGAUAAAAGGAUAGCUUGCUUAUAAAAUAGUCCAGUUGGCAGUCGCAAGUUUCUUCUCUAACA
rnacentral:misc_RNA from 1 species